GCCUGGCUAGUUCAGUUGGUAGAGCAUGUGACUCUUAAUCCCAGGAUUGUGGGUUUGAGCCCCACGUUGGGCG